AAAAGUUUUAUUUUAACUUAAAAAUUAAAUAGUUUUUUUUAUUAUAUGUAAAUUAUUUUAAAUAAGAAUUUGACAGUAAUUAUAUUUAAAUUAUUAAAGAAAUUUAGAAUUAGGAAUAAAAAAAUUGAUAUUAACUAAAUUUGUGCCAGCAGUUGCGGUUAUACAAAUAAUGUAAUUUAAUGUUAUUAAUGUAAAUUAAUUAAUUUUUUUAUUUUUUAAUUGAAUUUAUUUGGUGAAAUUUUUAAUUCAAGAAAAAAUUUUUUUUAUUGAAUGAAGUUAGUAAAGUUAAGUUUUAAACUAGGAUUAGAUACCCUAUUAUUUUAAUUAUAAAAGAUUUUAUUUGAUUAGUAUUAGUUAUGUUCUUAAAAAUUAAAAAAUUUGGCGGUAUUUUAGUCUUUUCAGAGGAACCUGUUAUAUAAAUGAUAUUCCACGAUUAAAUUUACUUUUUUUAUUAGCUUAUAUAUCGUCGUAAUUAAAUAUUUUUAUAGGAUUUAAAUGUUUAAGAUUUUUUAUUAAAAAAUUAAUCAGAUCAAGGUGUAGUUUAUAAAAAAGUAUAAAUGGGUUACAUUAAAAUUAUUUAAGGAUAAAUAUUAUUAUAUUAUUUUAAAUGUGGAUUUGAGCGUAAUUUUAAUAAUUUAGUUAAGUUGAUUUAGCUCUAAAAUAUGCACAUAUCGCCCGUCGCUUUCAUUUAAUAUGAAAUAAGUCGUAACAAAGUAGAGUUACUGGAAAGUGGCUCUAGAUUCAAA
rnacentral:ncRNA from 1 species